rnacentral:rRNA from 1 species
AUUGAACGCUGGCGGCAUGCCUUACACAUGCAAGUCGAACGGCAGCACGGGAGCAAUCCUGGUGGCGAGUGGCGAACGGGUGAGUAAUAUAUCGGAACGUGCCCAGUCGUGGGGGAUAACGCAGCGAAAGCUGUGCUAAUACCCCAUAAGAUCUACGGAUGAAAGCGGGGGAUCGCAAGACCUCGCGCGAUUGGAGCGGCCGAUAUCAGAUUAGCUAGUUGGUGGGGUAAAGGCCCACCAAGGCGACGAUCUGUAGCUGGUCUGAGAGGACGACCAGCCACACUGGAACUGAGACACGGUCCAGACUCCUACGGGAGGCAGCAGUGGGGAAUUUUGGACAAUGGGCGCAAGCCUGAUCCAGCAAUGCCGCGUGCAGGAUGAAGGCCUUCGGGUUGUAAACUGCUUUUGUACGGAACGAAACGGCCCUUUCUAAUACAGGGGGCUAAUGACGGUACCGUAAGAAUAAGCACCGGCUAACUACGUGCCAGCCGCCGCAGUAA